AACAUUUGUAAGUCCUAAAAAACCUGAAUAAAAAAUUUAAGAGUGGUGACUUUUAAGGACUCACUUUGGGUGUCCUAAAAGAAUAGUAAGGACUCCCGAAGUGAGCCCUAAAAACUUUUAACUAAAAUUUGAUAAAUACACUAUAACAUUUUCGAAAUUGGGGAUUUUUACUUAGAGUUCCAUAGAAAUUUUUCAGCACACAAAGAAGAGGAGAUAAUAGGGUCUCGACUGCUGGGGUUUGAAACCAGGGGGCGAUGGCGGCGGCGGUCUCCAUGGCAGGCGCGCGUACCACGAAGGCUCCUGCUGCAGACAGUGAAGUCGACUGGUGUGUUGUCGUCGACGUGUUGGGUUCCUGCUGCAGGCGUACGAAGACGGAGAAGAAGGCAAGCAUAAACGCACGACUCCUAGGUUCUCUUGGCUCCGACAACUGUAGCAGAGGGUCUCGGUGGUGUUGCAGAUGGUCUCAGCAACAGGUUUUUUUGUUUGUUUCACUCUCUUCCCUUGAGCCAUUAAAGCACACACAAUGACGCCACUACUGAAGCAAGAACGCAGCAAACCCAGCUGCUCAAGAAGUCGUUUGUCUUUGGUUGCAAAGAACUCUAUCAUUGGGAAAGGUAUAACAAAAAAAAAGUUAUGAUGCUGCCACAGUUGAUUAUUCCAAUGUUUAAAGUGAACAAGAAGUGUUCAUUCAAAGAAAGAGAUUGAGAGAAAGAUUACUUGUCAUUGAUUAAUUUAGUCAAUUGAGUUAUAUAUGCUCUUUUUUAUUGUACUAAUAAGUAGGAAUUUCUUCUAUUUUAUAUUGAAUCAUGUUGUCGUUUAUAAUACAUGUUGCGAAAUUUAAAUUU